AGCAUCGAUGGAGUCAUUCUUCAGACAGAAUGUUGAACUGGUGUCUCCCGCAGACCGACAUAAAAAUGCAAGAAACAUUAAGCUUUGAGCUUGUCAUAUCCUUGAUCCAAGUGUACAUGCAAGAACUGAAUGCCCAAAGUGAGAUGCUGCCUGACCUGCUGAAUUCCUCCAGCAUUUGAUUUCUAGUGUCUGCAGCAUUUUCAGCUUACCGUUUUCUUCACUGCAAGGCUAACAAGGGGAUGUGACAUGCAAAUGAUGCACAGAUCUUCUAUCAGGUAGCAAAAUGCAGACACACGAGAGUGCAGAUGCUGCAAAAUCUGGAGCAACUCUCAAAGCACUGGAAGAACAGGCAGCGUAUCUGGACAGAAAUCUUCGGGCACUGCUUUGGGUCAAGGCUCAUCAUCAGGACCUGAUGAAUGGUCUAUGAAAGGUCUUGACCCAAAAUAUUGACUGUAUAUUAUUCUCCAUAGAUGUUGUCAGACGGGCUGAGUCCCUUCAAUACUUUGUGUGAAACUCUAGCAGUUCAAUUUCACAAUAGGAUACUACAAAAAGUCCAGGAACCUUAUUUCAAUGUAAUAGUAAAGACUUAGACUGAUUUUGACACGUCCCUGAUCACUGUAGACAACUACUAUCCGAUGUGACAGUGACGUGCGUAAUUUAAUGGACGAUA